GUCCUCGCCCUGCGCUUCCCCGGGCCACGGGCGCAGGAUCAAGGGCACCUUGGCUCUGCGGCCCUCGGGUCUCCGGCGCCGGGCCUGGGCUCGCCUAGCGUGGGCGCCCCAGGAUCCCACCUCCAGGUGUCCUGGGCAAGGGGAGCUGGCAGCCCAGGCCACAACAGGGCUUCCCACUGGCGGACGUCCUUCCCCGUGGAGGGGGCGUUGAAGGACAGAGAGGAGAGGGGAGGCCCUGCGGCCUUCUCUACCAGCCCCAGCUCCCGGCCCCGUGGGCCUCUCCUGUGCGGUAUCUCUGGCCUUCUUCACCGGGUCUCCCUCAUCUCCAGCCCUCCUUGUGCCAGAGGCGUGUGAACCAGAGCAACUCCAUCUUGAAUAGGAGCUGGCUAAAAAGAGGCCGAAACCUACUGGGCUGCACUCCCGGACGAUUAAUGCAUUCUAAGUCACAGGAUGAGAUAGGAGGUCAGCACAACACACAGGUCAUAAAAACCUGUAUCUCCCAGCCCGGCCAACACGGUUGAAACCCCCUCGCUACUAAAAAUACAAAAAUUAGUCAGGCAUGUGGCACGCGCCUGUAAUCUCAGCUACCGGGAGGCUGAGGCAGGAGAAUCGCUGGAACCCGGGAGGCGGAGGCUGCAGUGAGCAGAGAUCGUGUCACUGCACUCCAGCCCAGGCGACAGAGCGAGACUCCGUCUCAAAAAAAAGAAAAAAAAAAACCCUGUAUCUGAUAAAACAGGUUGCAGUAAAGAAGUUGGCCAAACCUACCAAAACCAUCGUCCUACACUCCCCGCAGCGCCAUGGCGGUUUACCAGGGCCACAGCAACGGCACGAAGUUACCCUAUAUGGUCUAGAAAGGGGAGGCAUUAAUAAUCCACCCC
rnacentral:lncRNA from 10 species